rnacentral:piRNA from 1 species
UCUUCUUUAUUCGGUAUGCGU